rnacentral:rRNA from 1 species
CGCCCGUCGCUCCUACCGAUUGGGUGUGCUGGUGAGAUGUCGGGAUUAGUGGCUGUGGGCGGUUCGCCGCCCUCUGCCGCUGAGAACUUCAUCAAACCCUCUCACCUAGAGGAAGGAGAAGUCGUAACAAGGUUCCU